rnacentral:rRNA from 1 species
GGGUUGUGAGGUUAAGCGACUAAGCGUACACGGUGGAUGCCCUGGCAGUCAGAGGCGAUGAAGGACGUGCUAAUCUGCGAAAAGCGUCGGUAAGGUGAUAUGAACCGUUACAGCCGGCGAUGUCCGAAUGGGGAAACCCAGUGCAAUUCGUUGCACUAUCGUUAACUGAAUACAUAGGUUAACGAGGCGAACCGGGGGAACUGAAACAUCUAAGUACCCCGAGGAAAAGAAAUCAACCGAGAUUCCCCCAGUAGCGGCGAGCGAACGGGGAGCAGCCCAGAGUCUGAAUCAGCUUGUGUGUUAGUGGAACGGUCUGGAAAGUCCGACGGUACAGGGUGAUAGUCCCGUACACCAAAAUGCACAGGUUGUGAACUCGAAGAGUAGGGCGGGACACGUGGUAUCCUGUCUGAAUAUGGGGGGACCAUCCUCCAAGGCUAAAUACUCCUGACUGACCGAUAGUGAACCAGUACCGUGAGGGAAAGGCGAAAAGAACCCCGGCGAGGGGAGUGAAAAGAACCUGAAACCGUGUACGUACAAGCAGUGGGAGCACCUUCGGGUGUGACUGCGUACCUUUGUAUAAUGGGUCAGCGACUUAUAUUCUGUAGCAAGGUUAACCGUAUAGGGAGCCGCAGGGAAACCGAGUCUUAACUGGGCGUUAAGUUGCAGGGUAUAGACCCGAAACCCGGUGAUCUAGCCAUGGGCAGGUUGAAGGUUGGGUAACACUAACUGGAGGACCGAACCGACUAAUGUUGAAAAAUUAGCGGAUGACUUGUGGCUGGGGUGAAAGGCCAAUCAAACCGGGAGAUAGCUGGUUCUCCCGAAAGCUAUUUAGGUAGCGCCUCGUGAACUCAUCUUCGGGGUAGAGCACUGUUUCGGCUAGGGGGUCAUCCCGACUUACCAACCCGAUGCAAACUACGAAUACCGAAGAAUGUUAUCACGGGAGACACACGGCGGGUGCUAACGUCCGUCGUGAAGAGGGAAACAACCCAGACCGCCAGCUAAGGUCCCAAAGUCAUGGUUAAGUGGGAAACGAUGUGGGAAGGCACAGACAGCCAGGAUGUUGGCUUAGAAGCAGCCAUCAUUUAAAGAAAGCGUAAUAGCUCACUGGUCGAGUCGGCCUGCGCGGAAGAUGUAACGGGCUAAACCAUGCACCGAAGCUGCGGCAGCGACACUAUGUGUUGUUGGGUAGGGGAGCGUUCUGUAAGCCUGCGAAGGUGUGCUGUGAGGCAUGCUGGAGGUAUCAGAAGUGCGAAUGCUGACAUAAGUAACGAUAAAGCGGGUGAAAAGCCCGCUCGCCGGAAGACCAAGGGUUCCUGUCCAACGUUAAUCGGGGCAGGGUGAGUCGACCCUAAGGCGAGGCCGAAAGGCGUAGUCGAUGGGAAACAGGUUAAUAUUCCUGUACUUGGUGUUACUGCGAAGGGGACGGAGAAGGCUAUGUUAGCCGGGCGACGGUUGUCCCGGUUUAAGCAUGUAGGCUGGUUAUCCGUGCAAAUCCGGAUAAUCAAGGCUGAGGUGUGAUGACGAGGCACUACGGUGCUGAAGUAACAAAUGCCCUGCUUCCAGGAAAAGCCUCUAAGCAUCAGGUAACAUCAAAUCGUACCCCAAACCGACACAGGUGGUCAGGUAGAGAAUACCAAGGCGCUUGAGAGAACUCGGGUGAAGGAACUAGGCAAAAUGGUGCCGUAACUUCGGGAGAAGGCACGCUGGUGUGUAGGUGAAGUCCCUGCGGAUGGAGCUGAGACCAGUCGAAGAUACCAGCUGGCUGCAACUGUUUAUUAAAAACACAGCACUGUGCAAACACGAAAGUGGACGUAUACGGUGUGACGCCUGCCCGGUGCCGGAAGGUUAAUUGAUGGGGUUAUCCGUAAGGAGAAGCUCUUGAUCGAAGCCCCGGUAAACGGCGGCCGUAACUAUAACGGUCCUAAGGUAGCGAAAUUCCUUGUCGGGUAAGUUCCGACCUGCACGAAUGGCGUAAUGAUGGCGAGGCUGUCUCCACCCGAGACUCAGUGAAAUUGAACUCGCUGUGAAGAUGCAGUGUACCCGCGGCAAGACGGAAAGACCCCGUGAACCUUUACUAUAGCUUGACACUGAACAUUGAGCCUUGAUGUGUAGGAUAGGUGGGAGGCUUUGAAGCGUGGACGCCAGUCUGCGUGGAGCCAACCUUGAAAUACCACCCUUUAAUGUUUGAUGUUCUAACGUUGGCCCCUGACCGGGGUUGCGGACAGUGUCUGGUGGGUAGUUUGACUGGGGCGGUCUCCUCCCAAAGCGUAACGGAGGAGCACGAAGGUUAGCUAAUCCUGGUCGGACAUCAGGAGGUUAGUGCAAUGGCAUAAGCUAGCUUGACUGCGAGCGUGACGGCGCGAGCAGGUGCGAAAGCAGGUCAUAGUGAUCCGGUGGUUCUGAAUGGAAGGGCCAUCGCUCAACGGAUAAAAGGUACUCCGGGGAUAACAGGCUGAUACCGCCCAAGAGUUCAUAUCGACGGCGGUGUUUGGCACCUCGAUGUCGGCUCAUCACAGGGCUGAAGUAGGUCCCAAGGGUAUGGCUGUUCGCCAUUUAAAGUGGUACGCGAGCUGGGUUUAGAACGUCGUGAGACAGUUCGGUCCCUAUCUGCCGUGGGCGCUGGAGAAUUGAGGGGGGCUGCUCCUAGUACGAGAGGACCGGAGUGGACGCAUCACUGGUGUUCGGGUUGUCAUGCCAAUGGCACUGCCCGGUAGCUAAAUGCGGAAGAGAUAAGUGCUGAAAGCAUCUAAGCACGAAACUUGCCCCGAGAUGAGUUCUCCCUGAGACUAUAAGUCUCCUGAAGGAACGUUGAAGACGACGACGUUGAUAGGCCGGGUGUGUAAGCGCAGCGAUGCGUUGAGCUAACCGGUACUAAUGAACCGUGAGGCUUAACCUUACAACGCCGAAG